rnacentral:rRNA from 1 species
GACGAACGCUGGCGGCGUGCCUAAUACAUGCAAGUCGAACGCAGUGGGGACGGGUGAGUAACACGUGGGUAACCUCCCAUCAGAGGGGAUAACACUUGGAAACAGGUGCUAAACCGAUACUGAUGGAUGGACUUGCGGUGCUUUAGCUAGUUGGUGAGGUAACGGCUAACCAAGGCAACGAUGCAUACCCGGCCUGAGAGGGUGAAGGGCCACACUGGAACUGAGACACGGCCCAGACUCCUACGGGAGGCGGCAGGGGGGAAUCUUGGACAAUGGACGAAAGCCUGACGGAGCAACGCCGCGUGAGUGAAGAAGGUUUUCGGAUCGUAAAACUCUGUUGUUAGGGAAGCGGUAUCUAACCAGAAAGCCACGGCUAACUACGUGCCAGCAGCCGCGGUAAUAC